rnacentral:rRNA from 1 species
CAAGUCGAACGCGAAAGUCCCCUUCGGGGGGCAAGUAGAGUGGCGCACGGGUGAGUAACACGUAGGUAAUCUACCUUUGGAUUGGGAAUAACAACCGGAAACGGUUGCUAAUACCGAAUAAUGCAGCGGCACCUAAUGGUGACAGUUGUUAAAGCGGGGGAUCGCAAGACCUCGCGUCUGAAGAGGAGCCUGCGGCAGAUUAGCUAGUUGGUAAGGUAACGGCUUACCAAGGCGAUGAUCUGUAGCCGGCCUGAGAGGGCGGUCGGCCACACUGACACUGACAUACGGGUCAGACUCCUACGGGAGGCAGCAGUCGGGAAUUUUGGGCAAUGGGCGCAAGCCUGACCCAGCAACGCCGCGUGAAGGAUGAAAUCCUUCGGGAUGUAAACUUCGCAAGAACGGGAAGAAUAAGUAAGAGUUAAUAUCUCUUACGAUGACGGUACUGUUUGUAAGCUCCGGCUAACUCCGUGCCAGCAGCCGCGGUAAUACGGGGGGAGCAAGCGUUGUUCGGAUUUACUGGGCGUAAAGGGCGCGUAGGCGGCCACCGCAAGUCGACUGUGAAAUCUCCGGGCUUAACCCGGAAAGGUCAGCCGAUACUGCGGGGCUAGAGUGCAGAAGGGGCAACUGGAAUUCUCGGUGUAGCGGUGAAAUGCGUAGAUAUCGAGAGGAACACCUGCGGCGAAGGCGGGUUGCUGGGCUGACACUGACGCUGAGGCGCGAAAGCUAGGGGAGCGAACGGGAUUAGAUACCCCGGUAGUCCUAGCCUUAAACGAUGAAUGCUUGGUGUCUGGGGUUUUAUAGUCCCCCGGGUGCCGUCGCUAACGCUUUAAGCAUUCCGCCUGGGGAGUACGGUCGCAGACUGAAAC